AGCGAACGCUGGCGGCAGGCCUAACACAUGCAAGUCGAACGAACCUUUCGGGGUUAGUGGCGGACGGGUGAGUAACACGUGGGAACGUGCCUUUAGGUUCGGAAUAACUCAGGGAAACUUGUGCUAAUACCGAAUGUGCCCUUCGGGGGAAAGUUUAAUCGCCUUUAGAGCGGCCCGCGUCUGAUUAGCUAGUUGGUUGAGGUAAUGGCUCACCAAGGCGACGAUCAGUAGCUGGUCUGAGAGGAUGAUCAGCCACAUUGGGACUGAGACACGGCCCAAACUCCUACGGGAGGCAGCAGUGGGGAAUCUUGCGCAAUGGGCGAAAGCCUGACGCAGCCAUGCCGCGUGAAUGAUGAAGGUCUUAGGAUUGUAAAAUUCUUUCACCGGGGACGAUAAUGACGGUACCCGGAGAAGAAGCCCCGGCUAACUUCGUG
rnacentral:rRNA from 1 species